rnacentral:sRNA from 1 species
AGCAGCCGCGGUAAUUCCAGCUCCAAUAGCGUAUAUUAAAGUUGUUGCAGUUAAAAGCUCGUAGUUGAAUUUCGGGGUCAGUAGGCUGGUCGUGCCACGGGUACGCACUGGUCUCACUGAUUCCUCCUUCCUGAUGAACCGUAAUGCCAUUAAUUUGGUGUUGCGGGGAAUCAGGACUGUUACUUUGAAAAAUUAGAGUGUUUAAAGCAGGCAAGCGCUUGAAUACAUUAGCAUGGAAUAAUGAAAUAGGACGUUUGAUCCUAUUUUGUUGGUUUCUAGGAUUGACGUAAUGAUUAAUAGGGAUAGUUGGGGGCAUUAGUAUUCAAUUGUCAGAGGUGAAAUUCUUGGAUUUAUUGAAGACUAACUACUGCGAAAGCAUUUGCCAAGGAUGUUUUCAUUAAUCAAGAACGAAAGUUAGGGGAUCGAAGACGAUCAGAUACCGUCGUAGUCUUAACCAUAAACUAUGCCGACUAGGGAUCGGAUGAUGUAAUUUUUUAAUGG